rnacentral:rRNA from 1 species
GAUUUAAGAGCGAGAUUAAAUUGAAGAGUUUGAUCAUGGCUCAGAUUGAACGCUGGCGGCAGGCUUAACACAUGCAAGUCGAACGGUAAC